rnacentral:lncRNA from 1 species
AACAAAGAAUGCCGAGGCAGAUGAAACGAAGGCAAAGUAAUAUAUGUGAAGAGAGAUAAUUUGUGGUUGGUGAGGGAAACAAAAAAUGGUAGAGAGAAAAAGGAGGCAAAGGAGAAGAUGUGAGCAAAGAGAUUUGUCAUUGGUAGGAUGCAAGAAUUUGAAUUUUCUUUCUUUCGGAUUUAGUAAAAGUGAGGUCUUUGCAAGAAGAUACAGAAUUAUACAUUUAGU